AUUGAACGCUGGCGGCAGGCCUAACACAUGCAAGUCGAACGGUAACAGAGGAAAGCUUGCUUUCCUGCUGACGAGUGGCGGACGGGUGAGUAAAGUCUGGGGAUCUGCCCGAUAGAGGGGGAUAACCACUGGAAACGGUGGCUAAUACCGCAUAAAGUUGCGAAACCAAAGUGUGGGACCUUAGGGCCACACGCUAUCGGAUGAACCCAGAUGGGAUUAGCUAGUAGGUGGGGUAAAGGCUCACCUAGGCGACGAUCUCUAGCUGGUCUGAGAGGAUGACCAGCCACACUGGGACUGAGACACGGCCCAGACUCCUACGGGAGGCAGCAGUGGGGAAUAUUGCACAAUGGGCGCAAGCCUGAUGCAGCCAUGCCGCGUGUAUGAAGAAGGCCUUAGGGUUGUAAAGUACUUUCAGUGGUGAGGAAGGUGCUGAAUUUAAUAGAUUCGGCAAUUGACGUUAGCCACAGAAGAAGCACCGGCUAACUCCGUGCCAGCCGCCGCAGUAACAC
rnacentral:rRNA from 1 species